rnacentral:lncRNA from 1 species
ACGACUGACUGUGGGGAGGAAAACCCAGAGAGCUACGUUACCAACAAGGGAGGCGGAAGAAUGAUUAAUUAUGGCAUUUGAUCAAGAAAACUAGAUAUGUGUAUACUGGAAAUCGAUUUGAGAGGAUGAAUCCAGGGAAAUGAAAUAAUCGAAGGAGAAGUUAUUAGAAGACAGAAAAGGGAAUCAGAAGAAGGAUAAGUCAGAAGGCAGAUGUAGGAAUUAAUAAAGAGAAAAACUGGGGAAAGGACUAAGGAGAAACGGUGGGCGACCUUUCCCCUGCCGCAGAAUAGACCGGAGAGGAAGAGCGCGGCGGAGGGAGGGAACCGAAUUAAUAAACAAAAAGAACAAAACCCGAUCCUUUUCGCCAGAGUCCGGACGGGCCUCUAUUACUUCUUUUAUUAGUUACUUAAUUAGCAAUAUUAAAGAUUCAUCCAAGGGUUAUUUAGGUUUUUUAAUAUUAAAUAUUUUUAAUUUUUAUUAUUUUUCUACAACCUCAUCCCAACCAACAUCCGAGUCUUCGACGUUAGGCUAAUGACGCAUUAAUGCUUCUGGUAAUUUGUCGACGACGUUCUGACCACCAUUAACGGCCCUCCAGUGAAUCUUUUGAGAAGUGCCAUAACUAGUUUUUUUAAUGAAAGAGCGCCAUUUAGUUAGUGGCCUCUUCUUUUCUUUUCAGAGGUCCAUGACAAGCCUACCUGGUUACUCUACUAUUGCAGACUGUACGUAUAGUCGUAUACCGUUUGCUUUUCUUCAUUUGCAUUCUACGAGAAACAGCAGAACAGAAAGAAAACUAGAGGCUGUACAAUGUUCCUGCUCCUCUUUCUAAGACAUAACAAAACUAUAUAUA